AGCACAGACUGCUUAUUAUGGUAUUGUUUAUACUUAUUAUGUUGGAGACCAUCAGCAAAGUUUCUAUUCACUAACAUAUGAUUUUAAGCUGGGCUACAGUUCAUGUCUGUACUUCAACUCUUCAAAUUGUUCUGGAAACUGUACUGGGCUUACAUCUCAUGCAAUUGAUGAAAGCAGAGAUGAGUGGUGUCAGAGAGGACAUGUUGUGGCUUACUACACUUCAUAUCAGACUGUAUACAAUGAAUUGUUUCCUAAUGCAAAUUGGACAGAAAACAGAAAUGGUGUAAGAUUAUCUUUAAUACCGUUGCUUUUUGACUUGAGAAACCGCUCUGAUAUCAACAAACCAAACUCCUCACCGCAGACCACCAUCAUCCCUCUUUUACG